UUCAACCCGGAGCUGAAAAAUAUCACAAAACUGAUGUUUUUGCAUAUACUUUGCCAUGGUGAAAUUGGGUGCAGUGUACCGGCCCUCAAACUGCCUCUCAUAUUGUUAUGAAUAUGGCGAGUCCAGCUUUUGUUGUGGGCAACGGCGUGUUUCUACUUGCAGAAGCACCAUAUGGAAAACAUCGAGGUCGUCGCCCUGCGGCGUCCUACGGCCGUGCGGCCAGGUGGACGCGUUGCUGAACUAACAAGGCAGCGCGAAGUGUGCGCUUGUUCUCGCUGGGUGGCUGCCUGAAAUGUCAGCGCCGAAGGAACAGAUAGGUGUCAAACUCAGGACCUGGGGGCCAGAUCUGGCCAUUUCCAUGAUUUCAUGUGGCCCGCAUAGACAAAUCAUCAAGGUGACCAGCAGCACCAGGAUGGCGAUGGUGGUCAUCAUGCCGCCAUAGUAAGAGAGCAGAGCGUCGCGGCAGCCGCUCUUCCACACGUUGAGGUCCUCGGUGUAGUGGUCGUAGCUGUAGUGCGCCGAGUUGUUGGUCAUCUGCUGCUGGAUGCACGGCCGUGGCGAGCUCGGGUUGCAGCAGCUGAAGGGCACGCCGUCCAUCAGGUACUGGCCGUCCACGUUGCUCCCGAUGCGGCUGGGGAAAAAAAAUAUUAUUGGGCUUUCAUUCCUGAAAAUAGUAUUCAUAUGUCACGAGUCGAAUUCAUUCAAAGGCGUCAUUAAACAACAACAA